rnacentral:misc_RNA from 1 species
GCAACGAGUCAGGUCUUUGGGUCUGCUUGCGGUUUGUUACGAACACAAGCUUACCUUAAAUGAAUUAGCUGGACUUCAGCAGAGUUGUUAAGUAACAUUUUGAACUCUCAUAAUAUGAAGUCUGCUUUCUAGUCAUAUCUUUCGAGAUAUAAUUUUUCUAUUUUGGCCUCAAAUCAGGUAGGACUACCCGCUGAACUUAA